rnacentral:rRNA from 1 species
CUCUUUAGUACCAAGGAAUUCUUUGGGCUAGAGAGAUAUCUUAUCCUGUGCAAUGAACUUGUCGCCUGGGGUUUGAAUAUAGUCUUUGGUAGUAAAUUUUUUAUUGCCAUUGCUGACCCCAAUAGGCAUCCUUUCCAAUACUUUUUAGUAUUAAAACACUAUUGUAUUUUUUUAACUGAAUUAAAAAUCUUUGCUAAAAAGAUUAUAACCAAAUGGGCUAUUUUGGCUUGUUUGAAAAAACAACUUUCAGCAAUGGAUCUCUUGGUUCUCGCAUCGAUGAAGAACGUAGCAAACUGCGAUAAGUAGUGUGAAUUGCAUUCAGUGAAUCAUCGAAUCUUUGAACGCACCUUGCACUCACUGGUAUUCCGGUGAGUACGCCUGUUUCAGUAUCAUUGAAAACCCACAACCAAAUAUUUUGUUUGGUUGGACUUGGGCUACUAGUUUGGUAGUCAUGGUAUUAAUUUUUAAUGCCAAACGACAAGCCAAGCAGCCUGGAAUCUAUGGAAUGGUCAAUUGUAUCGUAGUAAUCAUUAUACAAGGCCUGAGCUUUAUAAACGAACUGGACUUUGAUUUGACCAGUUUUAGCUCUAGUCAUUGGGAUUACAGUAAAUCGAUCUUGGCUUAAAGGUCUAGUCAGUUUCGGCUGUCUAAACUAAUACCAAAUCAUUUUCUCAGUAUCGAUCUGAAAUCAGGUGGGACUACCCGCUGAACUUAAGCAUAUCAAUAAGCGGAGGA